rnacentral:tRNA from 1 species
CGGGAUGUAGGAAAGUUGGUAAUCCGCCUGUCCUGGGAACAGGAGAUCGCCGGUUCGAACCCGGCCGUCCCGAC